GAAAUUCAGAAACGGCAAGAACUUGAAUUUACCACGGUCUGAAAAUUGUAUUGUUGGAAUCUACGGUGAAUAGGCUUUCUGUCGAUGCCUCAGUCAUUCUUGCAUAACAAGGGAGUCCGUCUGCAUCGAAAAAGACAUGAAAGAAGCGUAUAUGAGCGUGCUCAUGAGACUCCAAAAUACGGUAUUUUCAUAAGCACGCGCCUAAUUCUUGCAUAACAAGACAGUCCGUAAUCGAAAAAGACGUGAAACAAGCAUAUAUGCUUGAGCGUGCUCAUGA
rnacentral:lncRNA from 1 species